rnacentral:RNase_P_RNA from 1 species
CCGCAGGCCCGCUCUGUCGCCGCCGGGAAACCGGGGGAGGAAAGUCCGGGCAACGCAGAGCGCCGCGCAAGCUAACGACUUGAUAUCCGAGAGGGUAUGGGAGCGUAACAGAGAACGACCGCCAGCCGGGUUUCCGGCCGGUAAGGGUGAAAAGGCGGGGUAAGAGCCCACCGCGGGGGCAGCGAUGCCGCCCGGCCGUACGUCCCGCGGGUUGCAAGACCGUGUAUACCGGCAAACGAGGGCUGCUCGUCCGAUGCCGGGGGGUAGGUUGCUGGAGGCGGCGGGCGACCGCCGUCGUAGAUAAAUGACAGGGGCCCGGGCUUCGGCUCGGGAACAGAACCCGGCUUACAGGGCCUGCGAACAA